GGGGGAUAUAUGGGGAGGCGGACUUAAAUCAGCCACUGCCCGCGUGAGGUGAAGAAGGUUUUCGGAUCUGUAAAGCUCUUUUGCAAGGGAAGAACGCGUACGAGAUUAACUGCUUGUACCUUGACCGUACCUAAACAGAAAGCCACGGCUAACUACGUGCCAGCAGCCGCGAUAAUAU
rnacentral:rRNA from 1 species